rnacentral:tRNA from 1 species
GCCACGGUGGUCUAGAGGUUAGAACGCUGGCCUUGUAAUCCUGGGGUCUCGGGUUCGAUUCCCAGCGGUGCCC